rnacentral:rRNA from 1 species
AACGAACGCUGGCGGCGUGGGUAAGACAUGCAAGUCGAGCGAGAUUUUCUUUGGUAGCAAUACCGAAGAACGUCUAGCGGCGAACGGGUGCUUAACACGUGGGCAACCUGCCGAGAAGUGGGGGAUAGCUCGCCGAAAGGCGAAUUAAUACCGCAUGUGGUUAGAGUGGACAUCCAUUCAAAAUCAAAGUCGGGGCAACCUGACGCUUCUUGAGGGGCCCGCGGCCUAUCAGCUAGUUGGUGAGGUAACGGCCCACCAAGGCUUUGACGGGUAGCUGGUCUGAGAGGACGACCAGCCACACUGGGACUGAGACACGGCCCAGACACCUACGGGUGGCAGCAGUCGAGAAUUUUUCUCAAUGGGGGAAACCCUGAAGGAGCGACGCCGCGUGGAGGAUGAAGGUCUUCGGAUUGUAAACUCCUGUCAUUGGGGAACAAUGCGUAAAUAUUAACUGUAUUUGCGUUGAUAGUACCCGAAGAGGAAGAGACGGCUAACUCUGUGCCAGCCGCCGCCGUAAUAC